GUAUAAUGUUGAAAUAUUAAGAGGCAGUUUUUUCAUCGAGAAAAGAAAACGCAACGAAAAAAAAUUAUGUCAAGUCAUCUAAAACUAAGCGUGAUACUUAAUACUGUAGAAACGAAGAGAACAGAACUCAACUAACUUAUCGAUUAAAUAUAUGGACUGGUAUACAAUAGUACUUGUUCUAAAAGUAAUUUAUAUCGAGGUAGACGUUGUAUUGGAACUAUCAUUAAAGAAUUCAGCGUAAGCUGUACUUCGGGGCGUGUUUCAGUCUGAACCAUGAAUUUACGAAAUUCUGUAUUUUUAUUUUCAAUUUCCUGAAGCAUAAGCAUUGCAUUUCGGAAACCAAAAGCGUAAACAGAAUAAACUUUUAAAAAUGGAGCCAUUUUAAUAAAAGCUUGAGCAACAUUAUCCUUAUUAUCAUCCAAUUCCCGCAGCAGUUCGCCAUUCAAAUUAUAAAUCAUUUCAAUUUGGCCAAAUAACAAAGAAUGACUGUGAACAUCAAGUAUUUUUUUUAAUUUUAUGGGAUUAACGAAGUAGUACAUAAGUAUUUCCAGCUGGCGAAGAAUCCUUUAAAAUUAUAAUACUUGAGCUUAAUACCACAUCAUUGAAUUCCUUACUUACUUCUAUUACACAUGUCCAUUCGAUUGCGCUCUUGUAGAACUUGUUGGAGUUCUCUGUUUAAGUUCAACAUGGUUUCUGUGUUUUGAAGUACCUCUUUUUUACUCUCAACAAAAUCUUUUCUAAUUUUUUUAGUACCCGAAAUCAUAUUUAUCAAGCGUUAAUUCAAAACAAAAUUAUUAAACUGUCAGCGUAACGAAUACUAUAUUUUUCCCUUUUCCACAUCUUAGACUUAUUUCCACAAACGGUAUAGAUGGCAUAGUGUUACGCUUAAUGUUAUACUCUGUGCAUAGUGCAACUACUAAGGAUUUGGAAAAUAUAUUUCAUGACAAGUAACUUUCAAAUCUGGUAGCUCAACGUUUCGAAACAUUUCAAAAAACUAGCAUAGGAGGGGUUGGAGUGCUGGUCGAGUAAGCAGUGGAGAACGCUUCUAUUUUCCAGAGGUAAAACUUUUACCAGGAGAAAAUGUGACAAAAAUAUAAAAACUCUUGAAUACAUGUGUAAAUCAGGGAUAUUUUGCAACUUAAUUAAUUUUUAAUUCUUGAAAUAAAAAUUUUAUAACGAUGAAAUCCACA